rnacentral:rRNA from 1 species
GACGAACCGUCCGAACGUUAUUCGGAAUCACUGGGCUUAAAGGGCGCGUAGGCGGGACCGUAAGUCAGGGGUGAAAUCCCACGGCUCAACCGUGGAAGUGCCUUUGAUACUGCGGACCUCGAGGUGGGCAGGGGCGUGCGGAACUUCCGGUGGAGCGGUGAAAUGCGUAGAUAUCGGAAGGAACACCGGUGGCGAAAGCGGCACGCUGGGCCCGUACUGACGCUGAGGCGCGAAAGCCAGGGUAGCAAACGGG